rnacentral:rRNA from 1 species
AGAGCGAACGCUGGCGGCAGGCUUAACACAUGCAAGUCGAGCGGGCGUAGCAAUACGUCAGCGGCAGACGGGUGAGUAACGCGUGGGAACGUACCUUUUGGUUCGGAACAACACAGGGAAACUUGUGCUAAUACCGGAUAAGCCCUUACGGGGAAAGAUUUAUCGCCAAAAGAUCGGCCCGCGUCUGAUUAGCUAGUUGGUGAGGUAACGGCUCACCAAGGCGACGAUCAGUAGCUGGUCUGAGAGGAUGAUCAGCCACAUUGGGACUGAGACACGGCCCAAACUCCUACGGGAGGCAGCAGUGGGGAAUAUUGCACAAUGGGCGCAAGCCUGAUGCAGCGACGCCGCGUGGGGGAUGACGGCCUUCGGGUUGUAAACCGUCUUUCACCAUCGACGAAGCCUUCGGUGACGGUAGGUGGAGAGAAGCACCGGCCAACUACGUGCCAGCAGCCGC